rnacentral:rRNA from 1 species
UAACCUGCCCUUAACUCUGGGAUAAGCCUGGGAAACUGGGUCUAAUACCGGAUAUGACUCCUCAUCGCAUGGUGGGGGGUGGAAAGCUUUAUUGUGGUUUUGGAUGGACUCGCGGCCUAUCACCUUGUUGGGGAGGUAAUGGCUCACCAAGGCAACAACGGGUAGCCGGCCUGAAAGGGUGACCGGCCACCCUGGGACUGAAACACGGCCCAAACUCCUACGGGAGGCAGCAGUGGGGAAUAUUGCACAAGGGGCGCAAGCCUGAUGCACCGACCCCGCGUGAGGAAUGACGGCCUUCGGGUUGUAAACCUCUUUCAGUAGGGAAAAAGCGAAAGUGACGGUACCUGCAAAAAAAGCGCCGGCUAACUACGUGCCAGCAGCCGCGGUAAUACGUAGGGCGCAAGCGUUAUCCGGAAUUAUUGGGCGUAAAGAGCUCGUAGGCGGUUUGUCGCGUCUGCCGUGAAAGUCCGGGGCUCACCUCCGGAUCUGCGGUGGGUACGGGCAAACUAGAUUGAUGUAGGGGAGACUGGAAUUCCUGGUGUAGCGGUGAAAUGCGCAGAUAUCAGGAGGAACACCGAUGGCGAAGGCAGGUCUCUGGGCAUUAACUGACGCUGAGGAGCGAAAGCAUGGGGAGCGAACAGGAUUAGAUACCC